GUCGACUGACGGUAACGGGGCAGAGAGGCUGUUCGCAGAGCUGCGGAAGAUGAAUGCCAGAGGACUUGGAUCUGAGCUAAAGGACAGUAUUCCAGUUACUGAACUUUCAGCAAGUGGACCUUUUGAAAGUCAUGAUCUUCUUCGGAAAGGUUUUUCUUGUGUGAAAAAUGAACUUUUGCCUAGUCAUCCCCUUGAAUUAUCAGAAAAAAAUUUCCAGCUCAACCAAGAUAAAAUGAAUUUUUCCACACUGAGAAACAUUCAGGGUCUAUUUGCUCCGCUAAAAUUACAGAUGGAAUUCAAGGCAGUGCAGCAGGUUCAGCGUCUUCCAUUUCUUUCAAGCUCAAAUCUUUCACUGGAUGUUUUGAGGGGUAAUGAUGAGACUAUUGGAUUUGAGGAUAUUCUUAAUGGUAAAUCCAUCACAAAGCGAAGUCAUGGGAGAGCCACACUUGAUGGUGGAAUAUAAACUUGGUUUACUGUAAUAGUGUGCUGUUCAUGGAAACCGAGGGCUGCAUCUUGUUUAUAGUCAUCUUUGUACUGUAAUUUGAUGUACACAACAUUAAAAGUACUGACACCUGAGAAUUUCUGCUCAAGUAGUAUCAGUGAUCAUUUAAAAUUUGGAGGGGUCUUUGGUUUACAGCCAUGUGACAAUUAAAAGCACUAAAGGGAGAUCAUGUUAAAGCUCUUAAUUUAUAUUAAAACAGUAGCCUUUGUCUUUAAAAAAGUUGUUGCUCAUGAAUAUUAUAAAAUGAUCUACAGGUUUCAAUUCAACCUGUUUCUAGGUUUUUUUGUAAAUUUAGUUUUGAUUAAGCAUUAUAAGCAUUUGAGUCUAUAAACUUUAUAGUAGCAUCUUUCAGAAUAAACAUUUUUAAUUG
rnacentral:lncRNA from 1 species